GACGAACGCUGGCGGCGUGCUUAACACAUGCAAGUCGAACGGUGAAGCGCCUUCCUUUUUGGUGGGUGUGGAUGAGUGGCGAACGGGUGAGUAACACGUGAGUAACCUGCCCCCUUCUUCUGGAUAACCGCAUGAAAGUGUGGCUAAUACGGGAUAUUCUGGGUCUGUCGCAUGAUGGGUCUGGGAAAGAUAUUGUUUCGGUGGGGGAUGGGCUCGCGGCCUAUCAGCUUGUUGGUGGGGUGAUGGCCUACCAAGGCGGUGACGGGUAGCCGGCCUGAGAGGGUGGACGGUCACGCUGGGACGGAGACACGGCCCAGACUCCUACGGGAGGCAGCAGUGGGGAAUAUUGCACAGUGGGCGCAAGCCUGAUGCAGCGACGCCGCGUGAGGGAUGGAGGCCUUCGGGUUGUGAACCUCUUUCGCCAGUGAAGCAGGCCUGCCUCGUUUGUGGGUGGGUUGACGGUAGCUGGAGAAGAAGCGCCGGCUAACUACGUG
rnacentral:rRNA from 1 species